GUAGAAAUCAUCACAAAGGAGUUUAUUUUGAUGGGCCGAACGGUGGAUUUGGUAAGGACUGGGGCAUCCCUUGCACCUGAUGUAGCUGUGUCCCACAGGUGUAGGAGUCACAGGCUGAGCUGCUCACUGUGGAGCCUCCGAGUGUGUCCCAAGGAUAGUGUCCUAGUGUUCUUCUCUAAGUUCCUACAGAAUGGCCAUUUGUAUAAGACAGACAAAUGCAAGGUUUUUCUUGGCCCAUUUUGUGUUGGAAGCUAAGUUUUUGUUGAUUUUUUUUUUUUUCUUUUGAGAGAAGUAGUUUCUCUGUGUAGCCCUGGCUGUCCUGGAACUUGCUCUGUAGACCAGGCUGGCCUUGAACUCAGAACUACCUGAUUAGCGUCCCAAAUACUGGAUUAAAGAAGUACACCACCGCUGCCUGCCUGCCUGUCUUU
rnacentral:lncRNA from 1 species